rnacentral:lncRNA from 1 species
GGUUCUAGUUGUAUUUACAUGAAGUAGUGACUUUUGUGUUUUUACAAAGUGACCCCAAAAGUUUAUGUUUUCGCAAUAUGGCCCAAAAAGUUGUGGUUAUUGCAUGAUGGCCCAAAUAGGAUGAGAACAAAAUUGUUUUGUCUCUUUAAAUGAGAAUUGGAUUUUCAUUUUGUUUAGCUCCACUUAAAUCAAUUUUAUGGAUACAAAAACCAAAUGAAAAAUGUUGCAUUCAAUUAAUUAGUUAAAGUGUUAAUU